CCUCAUUCACUUACAUUACGGCGCGUCGAUUAGUUCCAGAGGUCAUGCUGGACCUCUAGGAUUGUUGUUGUGGCCAUCACCAGUCCUGUCUGGACUGGUUUCCAGCUGCCCUUGGGACCGAUCUUCAGGCCCCGAAACAGAUGGAUGGAGUCCCGGAGGAAGCUGAUGGCCUUAUCAUACUCCUCCAUCUUGAAAUGACGUAGGGCAGUAACAGUGUUGCGUGACGACAUGAGGUCAAACUUUUUGGUGUCCAAUGUUCAGUCACUGUAUUGCUCCGAGCGGGAGCUUUUCUGGUUCAGCUCCGGUUUCCCUUUUCUGCUCCCGCUCUGUUCACACCGCCCAGCACCCGACUGGUGCUGCCGCUGCUGCG